GAGUUUGAUCCUGGCUCAGAACGAACGCUUGCGGCGCGCCUAAUACAUGCAAGUCGAACGAGGUAGCAAUACCAAGUGGCGCACGGGUGAGUAACGCGUGGAUAAUCUGCCUAUCAGUGGGGAUAACUAUCCGAAAGGAUAGCUAAUACCGCAUGAGGCCACAGUUUCUGCGGAAACAGGGGUUAAAGAUUUAUCGCUGAUAGAUGAGUCUGCGUGGGAUUAGCUAGUUGGUGAGGUAAUGGCUCACCAAGGCUACGAUCUCUAACUGGUCUGAGAGGAUGACCAGUCACACUGGAACUGAGACACGGUCCAGACUCCUACGGGAGGCAGCAGUAGGGAAUAUUGCGCAAUGGGGGAAACCCUGACGCAGCGACGCCGCGUGAGUGAUGAAGGCCUUA
rnacentral:rRNA from 1 species